rnacentral:lncRNA from 8 species
GCCUACUCAGACAGACGGGGGCACACAUCGUCAGAAUACUAUCAUACGACCAUUGAAACGGCAACAUGGAGAGGACACACAAGUGAUCAAUACGGUGAAAAUGAAGGCAACAUGACAAUUAUCGGAAGGGUGUCGUGUUGAGGAGAAAAGGAUAUUAAUUCACCCUACUUGGUCUUCUCACUGCCUAUCUAAUCAAUGACAAUAUCACUCUACAUUUUGGGAUAGAAAUUUCUAGCACGAGAUAAUAAACAAAUACUUAAGGGGAUUGAGGGAGUCCAAAAAAAACAGGAAAAAGUCUCCCACAAACUGGAUACUGCAGAUCCCGGUAUGGCUGGCAUUUGACUCCAACCCUGUUGAUUGGGUUUUGCAAGGAUGUCCUCCCAGGCAGCACCCGGCUGAUGCCGGUCCGGUGUUGGUUCUCCCUGGGCUGUGCUCUGAGCUGCAGUCUCCACUUUCUCCAAGAGGGGGCUCUACACUGCUGUCUCAGCUUCCUGGCAUCCGUUGGCUGCUGACGGGUCACUGCCAACUUCUCUGGAGCCAUGUCUCUAGGCUCUACACCCGUCACAGCUUUGAAUGCUACUUUUCGUUCUGCAUCACCCUCCUGACCUCUGGCCAUUCUCCUUGCUGUGGAGAGCCGUGGUCCUGGCCUUCGGCCCCGUCUCGCCACAGUGCACCACCACGUCCAGUCAGAGAGGAGCAGCAUUGCUGCCCAGGUAGUGAGGCCCUACUGCACACAGUGGCCCUGUGUAUGGGGACCCUGCUGGUGUUCAUGCUGACGGUAGGCCGCUAGACUGACAUGCUCCUCAUCCUUGUCACCUUCCUGGGGGGAGGCUGUCUGCCUGCUGCCCUCCCAGGUACUCCCCAAGUUCUGCCCCAGGAGGGAGCAGAAGACAUUCACAAGCAGAUCUGUCCGGCAUUCCAGAAGCCUGUCAUCAGACAGCGACACACAGAAAGACUAUCAGGCUGCAGAAAACCACAACACAGACCAGUUACUGUUUCACUCUACCUCAGACAAAAAACUUUUACCUCAAAUACAGCCGUCUACUGGCCUGUCUCACUCAGUGAUACUGUUGAAAUCCAAUACUGUCCCCAUUUACAGAGACAUGUUAAGCUUUGAUGUGGCGCAGCGGUCUAAGGCCCUGCAUUGCAGUGCCAGAUGUGUCACUACAGACCCUGGUUCGAUUCCAGGCUGUAUCACAACCGGCUGUGAUUGGGAGUCCCUUAGGGCGGCGCACAAUUGGCCCAGCGUGGUUUGGCUGGGGUAGGCCAUCAUUGUAAAUAAUAAUUGUUUCUUAACUGACUUACCUAGUUAAAGGUUAAAAAAUAAAUGAUGUUGUCAUAUACACACCGUUUCCAUCAUAUCAAUGUUUUAUAACCUUGUUUGGACCUGUGAAGGGAGACUUAACCCUGCUUACACAAGGGGACUGAUGUUUAUUUACUCUUAUCUUCUCUUGAAUUAUUAACCAGUCUAUUACCAUAGUGACAAGGGUGUGGUUGCUAGAGCCACACGUAUACAGUUUGUUCCCUGGCUACGUGACUUAUGUUAUUAUAUAACUUUGCUGUACAUUUGUGGCGUAGCUAGGUAUUGUAUGCUAUUUAGCUUUACCAGAUGUCCUGACCAUUCAAAAUAUAACAGGUGUGUGUGUGUGUAUUGUCUGUGUGCAGGCCCACCUAUUGUGAUCAUUUCUAUUAUUUAGGAAGCAUGGCAAUACAGUGAGAGAAGGCGGGUGAAUACAGAGUUAGCAGUUCAGUGGACGGUAAAAUGGGGGGAUGAUUAAAAGGAGACGUAGAAGAUAGAAGUUGAGAGUCGAAGAGCGGAGGGAGAGGCGUGUGUGUGUGGUAACUGUUGUCUGCGCUGGUUGUACCUUGUUCUUUUAAAAACCUGUCAUCAACACGCCCAGUUGCACAACUCUAGGAUAUUUACAUUUUAG